ensembl:lncRNA LOC108352807 uncharacterized LOC108352807
CCAACCCCCAGAAUCAUCUUUCUAACCUCCUUAUCAAGGCUUUGAAAUUCUGUCUUGUUUGUUUUGAAGCAGAGUUUCAUGUAUUUGGAGUGGGUCUGGAACUCUCUGUAUAACUACAGAUGGCCUUGAAUUCCUAAUCCUCCUGACUAUACCACACACUUGCUGGACUUGCGUGUGUGUGUGCUCGAGUGUGUGUGCGCGAGUGAGUGUGUGUAUGUGUGCAUGCACGUGCACGCUGAACCUAGGGCUUUGUGUAUGCUCCUCCUGAACCUGGGGCCAACAAGCUUCCGGUUUUCUUUCUGCCUCCAUCCCCCUUAGAGUUGAAAUUCUAGGAGAGUGUAGGCCUCCAGUUUGUUAGACAUGGGGCUAGGAUCUGAACUGUAGUUCUCAUGAUUACAUUGCAAUUGCUUUUAACUGCUGAACCAUCUCUCCAGCCCCUCAUCCCUUCCUGAGAGUCUUGCUAUGGAGUCUAGACUAAUGUCUAGAAUGAAGAGGAAGAAUAGGAUGGCUAGUCAGGAAGAAAGAGCUGGAAAGCAAGUGCUGACGAGGAUGUGUGGAGAAGGGAACCUUGUACUUGUUGGAGGGUAUGCAGAUUAGUAUGGCAUUACAGAAAAUGCAAAUUAGAAUGGCAGGUCCUUAGGAAAAAAAUCAAAAGCCAUUCAUUGGAUCCAGGAACUCUAGAGAUGACUUGGCAGGUUAGAGCACCGGCCGCUGACCUUGUCCUGCUUGGCUGAGACUUGACCCGACUAAGGACAUGGAAGGAACGAAGAGAAAACAAGCAAGCGACAGAAGGGCUGGGAUCAGGUGGGCUGUGCACACUGUGAUGGAGCUGCGAUGGCUGUAAAUACCAGGCUGAAGUAUCAUCAACCCUUUAUAAGCAAUUAUACUUGUACACACAGACAUACAUGCAUACAUACAUCUGUGCAUACAUACAUCUGUGCAUACAUACAUACGUGCACAGACCAUAGCAAUACACACAAUCAGUAAGUAAAUUUAAUUUUUCUUUAUCUUUGAGAAUUUCAUACAUGUCUACAAUGAAAUAUGAUUAUAUAUACUCCUCAUUUCCUCUAACUUCCUUCGUGUACCCCCUAACACGUCCCACAAAGAACCUCACGUCUCUUUUUAAAACAAUCAUUAAAUCCAGUUGUGCUGCCCAUAUAUACAUGGUGUAAGAGGAGCUACUGGAACAUGGGAAUCACUGGCCACACCCCCUACAAAGAAUAAAUCUUUCCCCAAAACUAUCAAUUCUCCAUAGCUUCUCUAUGAGGGCAGGGCUGAGAGAUCUAUCCCAUUUAUGUGGGGAUUUUGGCCGCCUUGAUCCUGUGCUAUCAGUUAGGAAUGCAUAGCCCUGCAAUUAUUUGCAUCUAUAGGUUUAUAUUCUUUCAUUUAAUAG